GGAAUAGAGAGAUGGAGAGGGCAAGGCAAUUGAUAGUAUCUUUGAUGGUUCCACUCUUUCCAGCCCAAGAAGUCAGAUGUCAUGCUCCGUCGUGUGGCAUUUCAUGCGAUUUUGGAAGUGGAGGUGGGUGUGUGACACUGGAAGGCCAUGCAGGCCCACCACUUCAACUUGGACCCCAGACAGCAGAGCUGAGCUCCUUCAUAAAGGAAAAAGAAUGGAAGCACCAUGAAGUCUGAAAUUUUGUCUUGUUCACUCCUGCAUCCCCAGUGCGUGGCACAAAGUAGCCA